rnacentral:rRNA from 1 species
UGCCCAGAAGCGGGGGAUAACACCUGGAAACAGAUGCUAAUACCGCAUAACAACUUGGACCGCAUGGUCCGAGCUUGAAAGAUGGCUUCGGCUAUCACUUUUGGAUGGUCCCGCGGCGUAUUAGCUAGAUGGUGGGGUAACGGCUCACCAUGGCAAUGAUACGUAGCCGACCUGAGAGGGUAAUCGGCCACAUUGGGACUGAGACACGGCCCAAACUCCUACGGGAGGCAGCAGUAGGGAAUCUUCCACAAUGGACGAAAGUCUGAUGGAGCAACGCCGCGUGAGUGAAGAAGGGUUUCGGCUCGUAAAACUCUGUUGUUAAAGAAGAACAUAUCUGAGAGUAACUGUUCAGGUAUUGACGGUAUUUAACCAGAAAGCCACGGCUAACUACGUGCCAGCAGCCGCGGUAAUACGUAGGUGGCAAGCGUUGUCCGGAUUUAUUGGGCGUAAAGCGAGCGCAGGCGGUUUUUUAAGUCUGAUGUGAAAGCCUUCGGCUCAACCGAAGAAGUGCAUCGGAAACUGGGAAACUUGAGUGCAGAAGAGGACAGUGGAACUCCAUGUGUAGCGGUGAAAUGCGUAGAUAUAUGGAAGAACACCAGUGGCGAAGGCGGCUGUCUGGGUCUGUAACUGACGCUGAGGCUCGAAAGUAUGGGUAGCAAACAGGAUUAAGAUACCCUGGUAGUCCAUACCCGUAAACGAUGAAUGCUAAGUGUUUGGAGGGGUUUCCGCCCCUUCAGUGCUGCAGC